rnacentral:lncRNA from 1 species
CCCAGUACAUAGUUGUAUAUUCUUCGUUGUGGGUCCUUCUAGUUGUGGCAUCUGGGGCUGGCCCCGUGGCCGAGUGGUUAAGUUCGCGCGCUCCGCUGCAGGCGGCCCAGUGUUUCGUUGGUUCGAAUCCUGGGUGCGGACAUGGCACUGCUCAUCAAACCACGCUGAGGCAGCAUCCCACAUGCCACAACUAGAAGGACCCACAAUGAAGAAUAUACAACUAUGUACCAGGGGGCUUUGGGGAGAAAAAGGAAAAAAAUCUUUAAAAAUAAAAAUAAGGAAAGUCAGAGAAACUCUCACAACCAAGAAGAGCUUAAGGAAAGAUGAUUACUAAGUAGAACGUGGGGUCCUGGAUGGGAUGUUGAAACAGAAAAAGGUCACUAAGUACAGACCAAGGAAACCUGAAUAAAUAAUGGACUUUAGUUAAUAAUAGUGUAUCACUGGUGGUUCAUUAAUGGUAACAUAUGUGCCAUAUUAAUAAUAAUAAGGGAAGCUGAUUACAGGGUACAUGGGAACUCUCUGUACUAUCUCCUAAAUUUUUCUAUAAAUCUAAACUUGCUCUAAAGAUUCAAGUCUUUUUGGAAAAAAAACGCUGUUUGUUUUUUUUUUUUAAAGUUUAUUUGUGCUGAACUUAGGUGAGAUUAAGACCAUAGAGACCUUCCAUAAAUCUAAAAGUUAGACCAUGGUUAAGAUUAACUUGUUUAGGAAUGCUAAAAAUCAGAUAAGAAAAAGGUACCUUGAGGUAUCAGAGAUGGGUGAUUUGGUUUCCUAGUAGUCCUAAAGAUGCAAAUUUGAUUGGGAUACCCUUACAAAUCAUGACUCCGUGAAAAGUAAAGGAUAGAUUUGAGAAGCAAG